rnacentral:lncRNA from 1 species
AUGAGUGCAUGCAGCAGAAAAAGAAAAAGGAUGAGUCACUCAGGAGGAGCUAUGAAGCUGAUGAUGGUGAUGAUAGCCAUGGCCCUGCUCACCACAAGCCAUGGCAUUGGCAUCCACAUUAACACCAGCGUCGUCACCCGCGGCUAUUCUGCCUCCCUGUGCAACGGCCUCACCUACACGGCGUGCCGGAUUAAACACUCUGAGUUGGACUUUGACUUAGAGUUCAUAUUGGAUUUAGAAUUCAGCCUAAGGAUCCUCAAGGUCAAGGGUGACGGUUCCAAUCCCACUACUAUAAUCAAAACAACGAGGAAAGGCUGCGUUCUGCAACCGAGUUGGUAA